CCAAAGGAGCAGUCUCCCUGAUGUUUGGAAUGUAAAUGCAGCCAUGUCUCAGUAUCUGGACAAGAGGUGCUAUCAAGAUGAUGUUCUCCUUCAGUGGCAGAGAAGGGAGUUCUGAAUUGCUGGUGUGGUAGGUGCAAAGCUAUUACGUAGUAGCCUACAAAUUCAGACCAGUCAUUGGAAUACCAUAUGGAACCUGGAUGGAGUGGUAAAGCUGGCACUGGAGACUUCUCCCAGUGAAACCCCUCAGAAGACUGUCAUGCUGGAAAAUGUACAGCUCUGGGAGAGGGUAAGGAGAACCAGCUUCUCACCACAGUCCAGCACCUUGGAGGAGUUUGCAAGAGUCUAUCACAGCCGGAGCUUGUACUCUCAGCCUGAGGCUUUUCUAUGAGAAUUUCUUCUAAGAGAAAUGUUGUUUGAGUGUUUUGCAGAGAAGAAAGUGAGAAAACUGGACACAAACUCUCCCACCAGAGAAAUCAGCCCUCACUGUUGCUAGCGGUGCUGAACUAUGGUCAUGCAGUGGAAGAGUUAGGGAUCUCCCAAUAACUCAGUUUCUGAUAAAAGAGACUAACAUCCUACAGUCAGGACUGCCAACAUUACCAUGGAAACCCCCAAAAAUAAAGACUUUCCCAGCCUUGUGAGAGCACACCUGCAAGAGCAAGAAUUGCCUGUCAAAAGCGACUCUCCUUCAUUAUUGGUGUCACCUAAGGACAUUUUUUGUGGGCUGAAGCUUCCUGUUGUACACAGGAAAAAUUUUCACACAGAAGUAGUCCAGUGUUUAUGAGAAGAAACCUUCCCAGAAGUGCACAGGAGUGAUUUUCCCUGGAUGUUAGUGAUUCAUGUGAACUCCAGAUCACUUCAGUAAAACACAGUCUUACAAGGAAGGACAUGCAACAUCUCACAGAUCACAGCCUUACAAAGGAUCCAAAACCAGUCAGCAACUGCAUUUUCCUGUGCGUGUUCAGAAUGCAAACAGGGGCCAAAGUACACCUGAACAGCAUGCCUACCAAUUCAAGAGACUUCCUAUAUUUAAUGUGAACCAGACAGAAUCAAUACAUACUGAAAAAAUUGACUAGGAAACGGCAUUUUUUUUACUCUGUACUUUAAAAACAUAACCCUGGAGGCCAAAAUUACUGUCUUGACUAUUUAGCAAUUGAUGACAACAGAAUUACCGUUAGUGGGACACUGACUCCCAGUGUUUCCCAAGCACCUUCUGCAUGAACUGGAGGAACACCUUGUAUACACUGAGUAUGAAACAGAAGGUCCCUCAGUUCAUCAAUGCCACAGUGCCCAACAGGCACUGCUCUUUUGAGAAACAUUCCUAGACUCAGCAGUUUGUCUGAAUUUCAACCAAAUGAAGCCUCGCAAUUGCUAAAAUCCAGACGAAGGCCAACCAGACCUGGCCUGGCUCUGCUGCUGUUGCUCUGCACACUAAUGCAGACCCUGUGAACUCAACUGACUGAAUGAGCUGAAGAGUGAAGCACCCCAAAGGUCAGGGGAAUAAAAGCAGUUUCAAACCACCCCAUUAUGAGUCCGCCCUGGCAUCUGCAUGGGCUCCCAGUGCCAACGGUACGAUUUGUGAAAAACCUCAAGGCUCCUUGCUGGUGAUGGAGAACCUGAUGUCAAAUCUCUCCUCCUCACUGGCUCACCUGAACGUUCAGAGCAGGGAGGCGAGCGACGCAGCAGCUACUGCAGAGACUCUCGAUCAUCUGAAGGCUAGUUAAACUAAUUCAGGGAUACAAGCGGCUCGCAGCAGCCUAGCAUACCACUGAACCACACCCUUCAAGUUAUUUCCAGCAAUCUUAACAGCCACUGCAGUCCAAGACCAUCCUGGGGUUUCCAUCUGAAGUCCAGAUCCUGUAAGAAACGCUACUGCAGGAGUCAGGGCUGUGUUCUACGCUUUUCAGGAUUCUCUAUCCUUAGUCUAAAGUUCAGGUUCCUGCUGCCCAAACAAACCUGGAGAAAAUAUGUUGGUUUGAAAUCUUGGUAGACUUCAUUGAGUCAUGGAUGAGGCCCUUCAUGUCCAUAGAUGUCCAUCUUCAUUAAGAAAAUGGUUCAGAAUACUGCUGCUAAUUAUGUUAAACAUACCUUUGAACUACUCUUACACAAAAAUUUUGAUAAUUCAUAAUUCCCAAGUAAAUAAACACCUCUCAGAGUAGAUAGUAUUUAAUUUUCCAAGUUAUUCAUAUGAAGGAUCUAGCCUUGCACUUCAUAUCUAGCCUGUAUAU